UAAUCUAUGUCAAAUUGGACCCAUCAAGUGCCAACUGUCAAAAUAUUCAAAAACCGACACUUUUCGUCUAGACUUGGGCAGCCGCAGGCCCAGUUGGUCAUACUUCUGGGCCAAUUAUCAAUAUCUGAGCAGGAACUGGAGCAGGUUCCAGCCAGGACCCCGAACUGGAGCAGCUAUAAUUAUGACAUAUGAUGGCACCGAUGCAGGGACCGACCCAUGUCAAAAAGUCCGUACAUACAGGCAUAAUUUGGACUGGAUCUCUGGACGUGGACGAGGGUCUUAGGGAUGCAUCGAUUAUGGAAAGCAUGGGAGAGGUGUCAUGAUUCUUCCUUUCCCCUCGAAGGAUCAUUAACUGUGCACAAAAGGAAGGAAAAAUAAUUCAACAACUUAUACGGAGUCAUAUUUUAGGAUUAAGGCAGUUAACUUUUAGAACUGUUAUUCAUGACGUUGUACUUCAUAUACUCUUAAGAUCAGGGUUUUUGGAUGUGAUUAAAUUAUCUAUAAUUCUGAC